AUUGAACGCUGGCGGCAGGCCUAACACAUGCAAGUCGAGCGGAUGAAGGGAGCUUGCUCCUGGAUUCAGCGGCGGACGGGUGAGUAAUGCCUAGGAAUCUGCCUGGUAGUGGGGGAUAACGUCCGGAAACGGGCGCUAAUACCGCAUACGUCCUGAGGGAGAAAGUGGGGGAUCUUCGGACCUCACGCUAUCAGAUGAGCCUAGGUCGGAUUAGCUAGUUGGUGGGGUAAAGGCCUACCAAGGCGACGAUCCGUAACUGGUCUGAGAGGAUGAUCAGUCACAAUGGAACUGAGACAGACAGCAGACGGGAGGGGGAGUGAGCAGGGGAGAAUAAGGGAAAAGGGGCGAACGACGGGCAGCGCGGGGCGGCGUGUGGGAAGAAGGGUUUCAGAGUGUACAAGAAGUUAAGGUGGGUAGGAGGGCAGCAAUUUAAUCUUUAGCUGUUUAGACUAUACAAACAGAAAAAGCAGCGGUUAACGUGCGGCCAGCAGCCGCGGGAAGAGGCGGAAGAGCACGCGUCCGCGC
rnacentral:rRNA from 1 species